UGAACGCUGGCGGCAGGCCUAACACAUGCAAGUCGAACGGUAACAGGAAGCAGCUUGCUGCUUCGCUGACGAGUGGCGGACGGGUGAGUAAUGUCUGGGAAACUGCCUGAUGGAGGGGGAUAACUACUGGAAACGGUAGCUAAUACCGCAUAACGUCGCAAGACCAAAGAGGGGGACCUUCGGGCCUCUUGCCAUCGGAUGUGCCCAGAUGGGAUUAGCUAGUAGGUGGGGUAACGGCUCACCUAGGCGACGAUCCCUAGCUGGUCUGAGAGGAUGACCAGCCACACUGG
rnacentral:rRNA from 1 species